rnacentral:piRNA from 1 species
UUAAGAGAUGGAGGCCCUUCUUUUU